rnacentral:rRNA from 1 species
GAUUGAACGCUGGCGGCAGGCCUAACCCAUGCAAGUCGAACGGUAACCGGAAGAAGCUUGCUUCUUUGCUGACGAGUGGCGGACGGGUGAGUAAUGUCUGGGAAACUGCCUGAUGGAGGGGGAUAACUACUGGAAACGGUAGCUAAUACCGCAUAACGUCGCAAGACCAAAGAGGGGGACCUUCGGGCCUCUUGCCAUCGGAUGUGCCCAGAUGGGAUUAGCUUGUUGGUGGGGUAACGGCUCACCAAGGCGACGAUCCCUAGCUGGUCUGAGAGGAUGACCAGCCACACUGGAACUGAGACACGGUCCAGACUCCUACGGGAGGCAGCAGUGGGGAAUAUUGCACAAUGGGCGCAAGCCUGAUGCAGCCAUGCCGCGUGUAUGAAGAAGGCCUUCGGGUUGUAAAGUACUUUCAGCGGGGAGGAAGGGAGUAAAGUUAAUACCUUGGCUCAUUGACGUUACCCGCAGAAGAAGCACCGGCUAACUCCGUG